rnacentral:rRNA from 1 species
GAUGAACGCUGGCGGCGUGCCUAAUACAUGCAAGUCGAGCGAACGGACGAGAAGCUUGCUUCUCUGAUGUUAUCGGCGGGCGGGUGAGUAACACGUGGAUAACCUACCUAUAAGACUGGGAUAACUUCGGGAAACCGGAGCUAAUACCGGAUGAUAUUUUGAACCGCAUGGUUCAAAAGUGAAAGACGGUCUUGCUGUCACUUAUAGAUGGAUCCGCGCUGCAUUAGCUAGUUGGUAAGGUAACGGCUUACCAAGGCAACGAUGCAUAGCCGACCUGAGAGGGUGAUCGGCCACACUGGAACUGAGACACGGUCCAGACUCCUACGGGAGGCAGCAGUAGGGAAUCUUCCGCAAUGGGCGAAAGCCUGACGGAGCAACGCCGCGUGAGUGAUGAAGGUCUUCGGAUCGUAAAACUCUGUUAUUAGGGAAGAACAUAUGUGUAAGUAACUGUGCACAUCUUGACGGUACCUAAUCAGAAAGCCACGGCUAACUACGUG